GACGAACGCUGGCGGCGUGCCUAAUACAUGCAAGUCGAACGAACGGAUUGAGGAGCUUGCUCUUCAUGAAGUUAGUGGCGGACGGGUGAGUAACACGUGGGUAACCUGCCCUUCAGUGGGGGAUAACAUCCGGAAACGGGUGCUAAUACCGCAUAGUUUCUUUUUCCGCCUGGAAGAAGAAGGAAAGAUGGCCUUUGCGCUAUCACUGAGGGAUGGACCCGCGGCGUAUUAGUUAGUUGGUGGGGUAAUGGCCUACCAAGGCAACGAUGCGUAGCCGACCUGAGAGGGUGAUCGGCCACACUGGGACUGAGACACGGCCCAG
rnacentral:rRNA from 1 species